AUAAAUUUACUGAGAUGCACUUUGAUUGUGCGGCCCAACAAGGAACUCAAAAGUGCAAAGUGCAACUGGAGCCUCUGGACGUGACGUCAUUCAUUAGAUUAAAAUUGGACCCAUCAGGUCAGGUGAGAUAGGUGAGAUGGGGGGGCAAAACGUGCUAAAGCAACCUGUAGGGUAUGGCCCCGACCUGCAGAACGUGAAAAGUGUCUUGGCGGUAGGAGGAGGAGGUUGUUGGUCGAGUCACGGUCAGGAAGCGCUGUAAGCAGAACGAAGCAAAGGAGCAGAGAAGACCUGCUUAACCGCGGCCAAAAGCUGGAGGAGGAAUCGGGUGUAAAGUGACAGAGUCCGAGAGCGAACACAUCCGGCGACAAAAAAAAAGUUCAAAGUGAUGGGCAAAAGUCGCUCAUUCUGGUUUUUCUACAACGGAUUCCUGUUCUAAGCCAUUGCUACUGCGCAGACUCGAACCGGAAAAACUCCGGAAAUCUUCUUCUUCUUUCCUUUGAUUGGCGGAUUGAACUCCGGAAAUCGGGGGGUUGCCUUCAGAAUAAAAGCACGAGAAAUUUGAAUUUAUGAGACUUACGUCAGGCGCCUAAUUUAUAUUUGUAAAUUCAUUGACAAGUAAAAUUUGCACAUUUCUGUACAACUGAGCAGCAAUGGGUAUUAAUAAGCACAACAACCAUAAAUAAAUA